rnacentral:rRNA from 1 species
GACGAACGCUGGCGGCGUGCUUAACACAUGCAAGUCGAACGAAGUGGCGAACGGGUGAGUAACGCGUAAUCAACCUGCCCUUCAGGGGGGGAAAACAGUGGGAAACGACUGCUAAUCCCGCAUACUGAAGUGUGUGAUUGCGUUUGUUUAGCUAGGUGGAGGGGUAACGGCCAACCAAGGCGAUGAUCAGUAGCCGGUCUGAGAGGAUGAACGGCCACACUGGGACUGAGACACGGCCCAGACUCCUACGGGAGGCAGCAGUGGGGAAUCUUCCGCAAUGGACGGAAGUCUGACGGAGCAACGCCGCGUGAGUGAUGAAGGCCUUCGGGUUGUAAAGCUCUGUUAAUCGGGACGCGGUACCGGAAUAGAAAGCCACGGCUAACUACGUGCCAGCAGCCGCGGUAAUAC